rnacentral:tRNA from 1 species
GGGGAAGUAGCUCAGUAGUACAGCGUCCGCUUCGCACGCGGGAAGUCCGGGACUCAAACCUCCGCAGCUCCA